GGCAGAGAUUAGGCAAAGAGAUGUGGCUUUCCUGUCCUAUCAACUGAGCAUAAGUUUUAUUUCUCUGGAGAAAAUUCAGCCUUGCGGAGAUAUGUAAUUAGAAGAUGAAGGAUAAUGCAGACC
rnacentral:lncRNA from 1 species